rnacentral:rRNA from 1 species
UACGAAGGGGACUAGCGUGGUUCGGAAUCACUGGGCGUAAAGCGCACGUAGGCGGAUUUGUAAGUCAGGGGUGAAAUCCCGGGGCUCAACCUCGGAACUGCCUUUGAUACUGCGAAUCUUGAGUCCGAUAGAGGUGGGUGGAAUUCCUAGUGUAGAGGUGAAAUUCGUAGAUAUUAGGAAGAACACCAGUGGCGAAGGCGGCCCACUGGAUCGGUACUGACGCUGAGGUGCGAAAGCGUGGGGAGCAAACAGG